GCAUAUCAAUAAGCGGAGGAAAAGAAACCAACAGGGAUUGCCUCAGUAACGGCGAGUGAAGCGGCAAAAGCUCAAAUUUGAAAUCUGGCUCUUUCAGGGUCCGAGUUGUAAUUUGUAGAAGAUGCUUUGGGUGCGGCUCCGGUUUAAGUUCUUUGGAAUAUUACAUCAUAGAGGGUGAGAAUCCCGUAUGUGACCGGUUGCCUAUCUCGUGUAAAGCUCUUUCAACGAGUCGAGUUGUUUGGGAAUGCAGCUCAAAAUGGGUGGUAUAUUUCAUCUAAAGCUAAAUAUUGGCCAGAGACCGAUAGCGCACAAGUAGAGUGAUCGAAAGAUGAAAAGCACUUUGGAAAGAGAGUUAAACAGUACGUGAAAUUGUUGAAAGGGAAGCGCUUGCAACCAGACUUGCACGCAGUUGAUCAUCCGGGGUUCUCCCCGGGGCACUCUGCUGCGUUCAGGCCAGCAUCGGUUUUGGUGGUUGGAUAAAGGCCUUGGGAAUGUAGCUUCUUUCGGGGAGUGUUAUAGCCCAAGGUGCAAUGCAGCCUACCGGGACCGAGGACCGCGCUUCGGCUAGGAUGCUGGCGUAAUGGUUGUAAGCGGCCCGUCUUGAAACACGGACCAAGGAGUCUAACAUCUAUGCGAGUUUUGGG
rnacentral:rRNA from 1 species